UAUUUCAGCAACUUAAAAAGAAUAUUUCAAGUUGGUGUCAAAAUGGAGCCUGCAUUUAGUGGCAGUGGCAAUAAUUUUGACAGCAAAAUUUAUCUUUAUAGAAAUGAAAAAAAAAAUGCUAUUCAUAGCCUUUUAACUAAUCCCGUUAGCUUUAAAAUCUAUUUAUCCAAAUCUGUUUUCAUAUUUUAAUUAAUUUUAUAAUUUAUCUUUGUUAGGCAUCCAAUUACAGGGUUUUGGCUAGAUGUUUCCAAUUAGCAUUCUCCCUUCGAAGCAUCUCUUUGGAGCAAGAAGGUAUCUAUUGAAAAGAAGAGACUACUUGCUGUUCAUGAAGCUGGUCAUGUUAUGUUAGCUCACUUAUUUCCUCGGUUUGACUGGCAUGCAUUUUCGCAGCUCCUGCCUGGUGGUAAGAGUCCUUUAGGCUUGAAGCAAGGAGAAUGCACAAGCACACUUACCUUGUGUUCGAAUAUAACUAAUUGAUUUUAUUCAAAAAAGGGUGCUGCCAAGAAUUGAACAGUAGACCACUUACUCAUGGAAGCUUCCUGUAGGGAUUGCACUCCCGCUCUUUACUAUAAUUGGGUUGUUGCUGAUUCUAUGGCAUUGCAAAGCAAAACGCAGUAUUGUUCUUUACUCAAAUCCAGAACCAGAGAGUUGCAGUGUAUACUUUGGGAUCCCUGUCUUCUCCUAUAAGGAUCUCCUAUAAUGCAAAAUAAAAGAUAAAAUGUUGUCAAAGCAACUAUUGAUAGGUAUAAGAAAUCAUGUUCAGAUUCAUCUGGUGCUGGAUCUGCUUCCGAGAUUAAUGCUCAGUAUUACCAGCAAGAAGUAGAAAAACUGUGUGCCUAAAUUAGUAACCUGCAGAAUAACAAAUUUUGAAUGCUAUUGGGAGUUUGAGACAGAUAUUUAAGCAUUUCAAUCAAAAAUAGAAAGAUUCAAUAAAUUUCGGUCCAUCAAACUUGCCUCCAUGAAGCAAAGAAGCAGUGUUAAGAAUGAUGUUGAAUUAAAGAAUUAGAAUAUGUAAAUUUCGGUCUAGAUUCAGCAAACUUGACUCCUACAUGUCUCUUUUAUAUUUCUUGAUUUGGUUACAUAA